rnacentral:rRNA from 1 species
AACGAACGCUGGCGGCAUGCCUAACACAUGCAAGUCGAACGAGACCUUCGGGUCUAGUGGCGCACGGGUGCGUAACACGUGGGAAUUUGCCUCGGGGUAUGGAAUAACUCAGGGAAACUUGAGCUAAUACCAUAUAAUGUCUUCGGACCAAAGAUUUAUCGCCCUGAGAUAAGCCCGCGUAGGAUUAGCUAGUUGGUGGGGUAAAGGCUCACCAAGGCGACGAUCCUUAGCUGGUCUGAGAGGAUGAUCAGCCACACUGGGACUGAGACACGGCCCAGACUCCUACGGAGGCAGCAGUGGGGAAUAUUGGACAAAUGGGGCGAAAAGCCUGAUCCAGCAAUGCCGCGUGAGUGAUGAAGGCCUCGGUUGUAAGCGUCUUUACCGUACGAUGA